rnacentral:lncRNA from 1 species
GUGAGGCAGGUGCCCCUGGGUUCAUGUAGUAAGUCCCCCAAUUAAUUAGAUGGUUUCCUGACUCUGACUUACUCCAGGAGACACAGAGAGUUGACUGUGUGGCCCUUUGGGUCCCAGUGUCCUUGUUUUGUUGGGCAAUUUUCAGUUCACGCAAGGUGAGGUGUUGGAGACAAGUUGAUCAGGGAAAUGACAAGGGAAGAGAAGAGAGUGGUCUGGACUGGGCACUGGUAGAACUGCUCUUUAAGUUUGUGAUUGGUGUCUUGCUCUUUUUGCCUGCCAUGAUGGUGGGUGUACAGGGGGCUGGGAUUAUCUUCCCUUUUAUGCUAUGGGGCCUGGAAGGCUGAAUGUUCCCAAGAAGAUGAGAGACGAAGCCUAGGUUUAUAGAGGGACAGCGACUCUGUCUUACUGCAGUAUGACAAGCUGGAACCUGGAUGUGUUUAUUAAUUCAUGGCCGUUUGGUGAAUGCUGAAGGCUAACUAACCUACAGGGCCUUUCCUCUCCACUUUGGCUGGCAUCCUCUGAACAGGUGGUCAGGUGACGCCAGAACUCACUGGAAAUAGAUUUUUAUAUAUAUUAUCUUUAAUCUCUGUUAUAACCUCAUGUCUCCCCAGUUCGUUUGGGAAGAGAGACCAUGAAAGGAAAGGAUGAGGAGAGAGGUAAAAUGUUCAGGACCCCGUUUAGGGAGAAGAGCCAGGUAGAGGAAUAGUUCUAAAGAUAAUUCCAGGGGAGUACAAACCAAAGAGACAGCUGAAGCCAGUGGUCUACAGACACAGUCUACCUUUAUUGCCACAACUGUAGAACUUUGUCUACAUAGCAUGUAGGAGAACCAGGGCAACAAUGUGACACAGAAGCCACAAGAAGUUGAGGAGGUUAAGGUUAGAAUGAGAUUAGAUCCUUGAGACUGGAGUUUCUUGGAGAGAGGUGGAUCAACAGAACAUGGGAAGAAAGGGGAGAGAGAGAGAGUCUAAGAGCCAGAUGGCUUCUGAUCUCAGUCAAGUACAGCAAUCACCUGACUCACUUCUCAGAAUGCAGGAACAGGCCCCACCUCCUGCCUUGGGGCUCCCUUCUCUACUUAGGUUACAACAUCCUUUAAGGCAGCUCCUAACUCUGGGAAGGAAUACUGGUAGCCCGUGGCCAGUGUCCUCCGGGGGACCACUUUCUGGCCUUCCAACAGCAUGAUGGCACGCUCUCGUCCAAAGAUUGCUUGUACCACAGCGCUGGGGACAGGUAUGAAGGCUGGGCGGCCCAGGGCAGCACCCAAGGCCUGGGCAAAAUCGGCAUUGGUAGUUGUAGAUGCUGGAGCUACUCCAUUCAGGACUCCUUGGACGUGGUUUGCCUCAAGGGCAUGAUUCAGAAUUCCUGCCAGGUCACUAAUGUGUAUCCAGGGGAAGAACUGGUGACCUGAACCAAUGGGGCCUCCUAGGCCCAGGCGGAAGGGCAGAAGCAUGUGGCCGAUGGCACCGCCCCUGCGGCCCAGCACAACCCCUAAAGCAGACAGAAGGGUGGUAAAGGAAGGUUGUUUAGUCCUUGGAGAGCUGCACUAUAAUUUCUCUUCUCCCUUCCUCACAGCCUUCCCAUGUGCACUUGGGAGUGGGCAGAGUUGAGGGCUGUGGAUCUUCCUGGGGCUUUCCCUUUGUGUUAGCUAAAGUGAUGGUGUCCUCUCACUGCAAACUCACCCCUCCUCAGCCCAGAAAUCUUCUACUUUGCUUGGUUCCCAGGCCCUUGGUCCUCACCUGAACGUACCACGACCUGGCGUGUAGACUCUCCAGGAAGCCUGGCUGCUGCUUCCCAUUUGGUUACCAGGUUGGAGAAAAAGUCAAAAUCCCCUCCUGGGCUGUCUUCAUCAUACUCCUCAGUCAGGCUUGGCUGGUAGUAAGCUGUCACAGAAGGGCACUCAUUUGCUCUGGCGGUCCCUGGCCUGCUGGGCCCUUCAGUGAAAGGCUCCUUAGCCUCAGGCUCCUUGGCCCUUUGGGUUUCCACAGGAGAAGAAAACCAUAACUGUUUCCCCCCUUGAGCUUCUCCAUGUGUUCAUGCCUGAAAGUGUAGCUAUUGGCUCUCAGGCUGCGUCCAGAGGCUGCCAGCUUGUAGUGGGUGGAGACAGAUGUAGGUGCUAAGCUGCUUGAGCUCCACCAUUCUUGACAUCUGUGACUUUUUGGCAAGUUACUUCUCUGUGUGCAAACUCUGCAUCUUCAAUAUGGGAGUAACUGUACCUACCUCAAAGUUGUUGCAAGGAUUAAAUGAUAUGUAUAAAAUGGU